UAGUAACGGCGAGUGAAGCGGCAAAAGCUCAAAUUUGAAAUCUGGCACCUUCGGUGUCCGAGUUGUAAUUUGAAGAAGGUAACUUUGGAGUUGGCUCUUGUCUAUGUUCCUUGGAACAGGACGUCACAGAGGGUGAGAAUCCCGUGCGAUGAGAUGCCCAAUUCUAUGUAAAGUGCUUUCGAAGAGUCGAGUUGUUUGGGAAUGCAGCUCUAAGUGGGUGGUAAAUUCCAUCUAAAGCUAAAUAUUGGCGAGAGACCGAUAGCGAACAAGUACAGUGAUGGAAAGAUGAAAAGAACUUUGAAAAGAGAGUGAAAAAGUACGUGAAAUUGUUGAAAGGGAAGGGCUUGAGAUCAGACUUGGUAUUUUGCGAUCCUUUCCUUCUUGGUUGGGUUCCUCGCAGCUUACUGGGCCAGCAUCGGUUUGGAUGGUAGGAUAAUGACUAAGGAAUGUGGCUCUACUUCGGUGGAGUGUUAUAGCCUUGGUUGAUACUGCCUGUCUAGACCGAGGACUGCGUCUUUUGACUAGGA
rnacentral:rRNA from 1 species